GGAUUCUGAGGUAUUGAAUAAUGGAGGAUAUCUGGUUUUAGUUUGCUACGUAUGGCAAAUAUACCAAACCAAACCAAAGCUUUGUGUCCUAAUCCUAAUCAUCUAGGCUAUCAGGUUCCAAUCGUUUUUUUCUCAGAUAUACUAAAUAAAGUCAUAUCAAUUUUUUUACUAUAUCACCCUAUGACCUAUCACCUAUGUUAAUUUAGGUUUUCCUCUAUAGUGUAUCCUUUAUUUUCGUUAAUAGUGAUCCCAUCACGCUUUCAUAUCGUUGCAUCUAUUGGCCAUUGUUGCACAUGACCAAAGUCGAUUCUCUUUCAACCUUCCAAUGGUGCUACUCCUACCAAUUCAUGGAUGCAUUCAUUUCUAUUUCAAUCUCCUCGUCUCAUCACACAUCCAACUUAGUAUCAUUGUUUCAGCUACACUCGUUUUAUUUGUGUUAUUUCUUAUUUACUCACAUUGUUUCCAGUGAAGCAUCUUGCAACUCUUCUAUAUAUGGUUUCCUCCAAUUUCGUUGGUACCUGUCGAUUGCUCAAUAUGCAAAGGGAAGGUACCUCCCAAUGAACAAACUUGUUCGUGUGGUGCAACCCGUCCAAUUCUACAUCUCCUAAUUGUCAAAACCCUAGAUAGAGAAUUGUUCUCUUUGAAUCUUAUUGUCUUCAAUGUUCACUUCUUUGCUUUUUUACAUAUAUUGUUACGAACCACAUUCCACAUUUCAAUUUUGCUCUAAUAUUUUAACUUUUGACGAAUCGUUUCUCCAAUGAAGGCAAUUGGUGAUGUAGGCAAUCUGUUGUCCAUCUAGGAAUCGUGAUAGGGCGGUGCUAAGACGAUGUGAACCGCAAGAGGUGGAACGAUGAGAGAGAGAGAGAGAUGGAGGAGAGAAUGCGGCACUUCAUAAUGGGUAACAUAGGGGAGUAAACAUGGCUAACCUAGAGGAUAUUCACAAUAUGACCAUAAACUUUCCUUCCAUGAACGAGGAGUUUGAUGUUUUAUCUACGAAGGAAGUUUAUCUAAUAAUGAUCAUCGUGUUUGAAAGAAUGGAAGUGGGUAUAUUAAACAAGGGUGAGUUAAAUAGAUUUUUAAGGUGGAAGAGAAACUUAAACAAGAGAAAGAUAAAUAUGAAAGCUCAAGUUGAACAUUUUGAAAUUAGAAGAAAAUUGGGUUUAUUGAUUGAAAGACUCAAGAAUGAGUCUUAUUCAAAACUAGAUUUCUUCAUGGGGUAUGUAAGCAAAAUGAAAUCCGCAAGCUUAAAGUUGAAGAGAUUGAGAAAGAGAAUAGAGCCUUGGGUAAAUUUCCAAUGGAAAAUAUUGUUACACCUAAUGUGGUAUCAAAAGAAUAAAGGAAGUCAAACUCAAUCGUUUAAGAAAAAGGUUAAAAAAGCAAGACUUAUAAAAAGGAAAGGCUUAAACGACUCUUUCUAAAGUCAAACACAUCAACCUAGUGCCGUUAGAGUUCCAAAUGAUGUAAAGGAAACUUGUUAUUACACCAUUAAAGGACCACAUGCAAAAUCAAUGUAUAUAUACGCAAUUCGUUGCGUCCCAACAAGGAAAUAUGUCUCAUAACCACCUCAAGUUUUUGCUAGGUCUCAAAAUGCAACAAACAAAAAACAUGAUGGAAAUGCAAUGUUAAAUGCUCAGAAUCCAUGUGAUGUGAAACUGCCAACUCUCACAAGGGCCUUUAAAGGAAGAAAUACUUAAUAUAGGGGGUCUUUUAUGAAUUUGGAGGUUGAAUUCCAAAUUCUAUGGCCAACAUAGAAACUUUGGAUUAGGAUAAAAGGGCUUUAUUUUAUUAAUUAAGACAAAUUAUCAAUGUUAAAUUGUAAGCCUCAUUCAAGCGUAGUGAGAAUUUAAAGUCAAAUCAUAAGAAUAGAAACCUAAUAAGGUGAAAUUGGUUUGCC
rnacentral:lncRNA from 1 species